rnacentral:lncRNA from 1 species
UUGCUGCUCACCAAGAGGACUGCUUAACAGAUUUACCCAUGUGAGAGGUGGCUCGCUUACAAUGCCCACGCACCCAAAGGGCCAGCUCCUGCAUUUUUUCACUUCACCGAUGCCAAAGCCACUUUGCCCACCUUUGCAGCAGACGCAGGGAAUUAACUAUCUCAAGAAGUGGCCCUUAGUUAUUAACUGAUGGCAGCUGGUCCCAGGGUAUCCAAGAAGCUGUCAUCCAGGUCUUCUCCAAUGAAGCUACAACAACCCACAGAGCCAGCAGGGGAACCUACACCUUCGAUGUCAUAUAUGAGCAAACAGUCAUUAGAUGGGCGUCCUUCAUCUUCAUCUGCAUGGAGUGAAUAUGAUGAUUCUGUGAAGGUUUAUUGCAACAUGACUUUUUCAGCACAGCAACAGGAAAAUUUGACUCUGGGUCUGUUCUACAAAAUUAAAGCUUUCUCAGCACAAAAAACAGCAUAGACUGUGAGUGAUGGCGGCCAUCUUGGUUCAUGUGUAAAGACUGAAUUUCAGUGACUACCAACGGCUAUUUCUUAGAAUGUGGCACUUACCCUGGGUUCAGGCUGUGGUCCUUCUACUGCCCAUGAAUGAAUUGCUCCAUCUGAACAUUCGGGAACAGGCUCAAAGCCAGCUGCACUACGAGGAGCACCUCCACAAUCACAACAGAUCAUCAAAAAUGGGACCACUGGUGGUGGAGGGAUAGUAAUACUAGAGUUAGCACUGGGUGCAAAUAAAAAACAAAACAACCUGAUUUUUUAUGGUUAAA